UAAAGUCUGACCUGCCCUAUGAGUUAUUAAAUGGCUGCGGUAUUCUGUCCGUGCAAGGUAGCAUAGUAAUUAGUUUUUUAAUUGGGAACUGGUAUGAACGGUUUGACGAGAGAAAUACUGUCUCAAUUUAAUUUAAAUUAGAAUUUUAUUUUUAAGUAAAAAAGCUUAAAUUUUCUUAAAAGACGAGAAGACCCUAUAGAAUUUUAUAUUUUUAUGUGUAAUUGAAAGUUAAAGAAUCUAAGACCCGAUUAUAUGUAAGAAAUAUUAGGUUGGGGCAACUAAAAAAUUUAAUAAACUUUUUCUACAAUAAAAACAUUGAUAUAUGAUUAUAUGAUCCAUAAAUUAUGAUUAAAAGAUUAAAUUACCUUAGGGAUAACA
rnacentral:rRNA from 1 species